AAUCAACGCUGGCGGCGUGCCUCAGACAUGCAAGUCGAACGCGAAAUUUCCCUUCGGGGGAGAAAGUAGAGUGGCGCACGGGUGAGUAACACGUAGGUAAUUUGCCUUUGGGUGGGGAAUAACUCAGGGAAACUUGAGCUAAUACCGCAUAAUGCAGCGGCUCGACAUCGAGACAGUUGUUAAAGCGGGGGAUUGGAGCAAUCCGACCUCGCGCCUAAAGAGAAGCCUGCGGCAGAUUAGCUAGUUGGUAAGGUAAUGGCUUACCAAGGCGACGAUCUGUAACCGGCCUGAGAGGGCGGUCGGUCACACUGACACUGACAUACGGGUCAGACUCCUACGGGAGGCAGCAGUCGGG
rnacentral:rRNA from 1 species